rnacentral:rRNA from 1 species
CCUACGGGAGACAGCAGUGGGGAAUAUUGCACAAUGGGGGAAAGCCUGAUGCAGCGACGCCGCGUGAGUGAAGAAGUACUUCGGUAUGUAAAGCUCUAUCAGCAGGGAAGAAAUAGCGACCUUUGGGUCGCCAGACGGUACCUGACUAAGAAGCCCCGGCUAACUACGUGACAGCAGCCGCGGUAAUACGUAGGGGGCAAGCGUUAUCCGGAUUUACUGGGGGUAAAGGGAGCGUAGACGGCAGCACAAGUCUGAAGUGAAAUGCCGGGGCUUAACCCCGGAACUGCUUUGGAAACUGUGCGGCUAGAGUGCAGGAGAGGUAAGUGGAAUUCGUGGUGUAGCGGUGAAAUGCGUAGAUAUUAGGAGGAACACCAGUGGCGAAGGCGGCUUACUGGACUGUAACUGACGUUGAGGCUCGAAAGCGUGGGGAGCAAACAGGAUUAGAUACCCUGGUAGUC